UGACUGGAGAGAGGCUCAGGAAGUGGCUGCCCAGGCUGGGUACGCCCAACACCCGCCUCCGAAUAUGGCUCUUCUCCUGGUACGGCUUUGAGGAUGCAAGAACACAUUCAGCUCUCAAGAGGUCUGCAUUUCUGGAAGUGAAGUGUUGUGGCUCUUAAUAGGCUCCCCUGGCGGGCCUUUCAGAGCCCACGCUGCCUCUGAGCAGCUGCUGUGCUGAGCGAAGGAGCAAGCGGGCUCGUUUGCAGACCACGUGCCUGUCGCCUUCUUGGGAAGCCAUCACAGCACGUCCUGGAACAGGCUCCCGAGGAGGCAUCACAGUUUAGCGUAAUUCGUCAACUUCACAGCUGCUACUUGGGAGGGAGGGGGCCAAGGAAGCCAGCGCCAAGCCACUCAGGAAUCUCAGGAGCAUUCCCUAGGCCAGCAGAGAGAAGGUGAGCCCCAGCAGGAGUGGGCAGAGCUUGCAACCUGCUGCUAGCUUCACCUCCAGCCCUGGCCCAGACCUCUACGCACCCUGAGGGUGCCAGCAGACUGGAAACUGAGGGAAACAGCUGGGUCUUCAGAGUCAGGGAGAGUGGAUUCAAGCCUCCUCAUCAUCCAUAAUCUAUGUUUCAGGAUUACCCUGACCUCCUGACAAUCUAGCAACUAAAAAGGUCAGCACCUGGCAGGAGAGCAACCUCCAGGACCCUGCUCCAGCUGCCUCCAUUCUGCUUGGUCAGUGCCCAUUAUUAUACCAUAUCAGGCCUGCCUAUCCCAUGGGGUUGUUGUGGGCAUUAAAUAAAUAAUGCCUGUAGGGUGCAUAACAGAACACCUGGCAUGAAGAAAGCACUGGACUGGUGGAAGAUACUUUGAUGUUAUUUUGGGGGUCCUUUUCUUUCUUUGCAACCUCUGGGUACACAGUUCUGCCCUGGGCCAAUUUCCCCUUUCUUGUCUUCCUUUCCUCUGCUGCAGAGAGCCAGCCUGCUUGCCGGCUUCCAGUGGUCACCAGAGCCUCCUUGGCCUCACCCACCUAGGAACAUCACAGCACCUCUGUUUUCCACCCCACCCAUCCUAUUCCAUGCAUUCCAAAAGAAAACAUGCAA